GUUCCAAGUGUCCACUUGCAGAUUCUACAAAAAGAGUGUUUCAAAACUGCUCUAUCAAAAGAAAGUUUCAACUCUGUGAAGUGAAUGCACACAUUACAAACAAGUUUCUGAGAAUGCUUCUGUCUAGUUUUUAUGUGAAGAUAUUCCCGUUUCCAACGAAGGCCUCAAAGCAGUCCAAAUAUCCACUAGCAUAUUCUACAAAAAGAGUGUUUCAAAACUGCCCCCAUGAAAAUGAAUAUUCAACUCUGUGAGUAGAAUGCAAACAUCACAAAGAAGUUUCUGAGAAUGCUUUCUCUAGUUUUUAUGUGAAGAUAUUUCCUUUUCCACCAUAGGCCUCAAAGCACUCCAAAUGUCCACUUGCAGAUUCUACAAAA
rnacentral:lncRNA from 1 species